rnacentral:rRNA from 1 species
AGCGAACGCUGGCGGCAGGCCUAACACAUGCAAGUCGAACGAAGUCUUCGGACUUAGUGGCGGACGGGUGAGUAACACGUGGGAACGUGCCUUUAGGUUCGGAAUAACUCAGGGAAACUUGUGCUAAUCCCGAAUGUGCCCUUCGGGGGAAAGAUUUAUCGCCUUUAGAGCGGCCCGCGUCUGAUUAGCUAGUUGGUGGGGUAAAGGCUCACCAAGGCGACGAUCAGUAGCUGGUCUGAGAGGAUGAUCAGCCACAUUGGGACUGAGACACGGCCCAAACUCCUACGGGAGGCAGCAGUGGGGAAUCUUGCGCAAUGGGCGAAAGCCUGACGCAGCCAUGCCGCGUGAAUGAUGAAGGUCUUAGGAUUGUAAAAUUCUUUCACCGGGGACGAUAAUGACGGUACCCGGAGAAGAAGCCCCGGCUAACUUCGUGCCAGCCGCCGCUGUAACAC